GAGGUAUGAUACGCCACUUCCGGCCACUUCCGGCCACUUCCUGUUGGAAAGAACAUGGCCGCAUUGUAGGAGGUAGCUUCCUGAGUUCAGUCAUCUCAGCAACUGGUUCCACCUUGCUGGUAGGAUCAAAACUGAGCUCCUGUUCCCAGGCCCCGGAACCCAACUUCUGUUCUGCAUCUUCAGAUGUUUCAUGUUUGUCUGCUAACCAGUAAAGGCUGUAAAGAGGGAACAUGCCUCUCUCCCGUUAUCUCAACCGAGGCACACAAGUCAUGAAUGUGCAGCCUGUCUUGGCUUAAUGGACUUCAUGCAGCUUGCCCAUUCCUUUGUCCCCUUAUCAUCCUAAACUCUAGCAUCCAGGAGGGGACCUGACUGCAAAAGCUGACUCAAGGUUCCUGAAACCAGGGCAGGAUUUUCCUAAAAGGCACAGUGGGCCAUUUGUUUCAUUAUGUUUGAGACUUCAGCUGAGAAGACUUGGAAUUGACUUGACAUCGGGAGGUGGACACUAUCUGAGGAGUUGACUUGACAUCGGGAGGCGGACACUAUCUGAGGUCUUCACACAUCUGGCAGUUAUUUCUGGAUAGUAGCUAGGACCGUAGCUGGAGCUGCUGAUCAACUUGCCCAUGAAUGCCUUCUGCUGGGUGUGUCCAGGGUUUUCACACAGCAUGGCAGCUGGGUUGUAAGAUUAGGUGUCCCAAGAGACAGGAACUGGCAAAGGAUCGCCAUGCCUACCUUCUAUUGGCCCUGGCAGCUCCUCUGUACAAAAUGAAGGAACAUAGACCUCAUGGCUUAUUGGGAAAGUUAUUAAUAAAAUAUUACAAUGCAUGGGAUGGAGUAUAUCAUCUUUGAUGUAGCUUUCAGAGAUUUAGCUAUCUUUGAAAAGUACCAUCUGACAGUGUAUGUUAUGAUUUGUAUAAAAGUGUGUGUAUGUGUAUGUGCUCUUUACACACUGAAUGCCUCUCAAAGACAGAGACAGCUAAUGCCCUCUGUCCCUGAGAAGGAAAGUAUUUAGAGAACAGGAUUAAGAGGAAAUUUUUUACUUCAAUAUGUAACCUGUUCAAAGUAUUUGAAUAUAUACUAUAUCCUUCCAAGUAUAAAGAGCCAAUCCUAAAAGCUUCUAAAAGGAAAAGAAAAGAUACUGCAAGAUGGCUGUCUCAUCAAAGAAAGCACAACUCUUGGUGAGUUGAGUUAAUUCCCCAAAACCCACAUAAAGGUAGAUAAAAAGAUCAGACUCCACAAAGGCAUCCUUUGACCUUCUUAGGCACACAAGGACACUCCCCACCCCCAACACAUACAUACAUCAUAUGUACUGUGGUGAUUUGAAUGAAAAUGGCCCCGUAUAACUUCAUAUGUUUGAAUACUUGGUUUCCGGUGGUGAAACUACUUGAGAAUUAGGUAGUAUGUGGCCUUAUGGAGAAGGUGUAUCAGUAGGGAUUGGCUUUGAGAUUUCAAAAGACUCCUGCCAUCCCUAGUGUGCCCUCUCUACAUCUGCUUGUGGAUCAAGAUGUAAGCUCUCAGUUACUGCUGCAGACCCAUGCCUGCCUGCCUACUGUCAGGCUGCCUGUGAUAAUGAUCAUAGACUCUAACCCUCUGAAACUGGAAGCCCCCAAAUAAACUCUUUUUUUCUA